rnacentral:rRNA from 1 species
UACGUAGGUGGCAAGCGUUGUCCGGAAUUAUUGGGCGUAAAGCGCGCGCAGGCGGAUAGGUCAGUCUGUCUUAAAAGUUCGGGGCUUAACCCCGUGAUGGGAUGGAAACUGCCAAUCUAGAGUAUCGGAGAGGAAAGUGGAAUUCCUAGUGUAGCGGUGAAAUGCGUAGAGAUUAGGAAGAACACCAGUGGCGAAGGCGACUUUCUGGACGAAAACUGACGCUGAGGCGCGAAAGCGAGGGGAGCGAACAGG